rnacentral:rRNA from 1 species
AUGGGUUGCGGCUUAUCGACGCCGGACAACGACGGCGGGGGCGGCGCGCGGAGGAAGCAGGGGAGCGUGGGGGACGUCGUCGUCUUCCUCCCGGGGCUCCGGGCGCCCAUGGGCGUGGACUUGUCCCAGGCGCUCGCGGGGCGCCUGGACAAGGGCGCCGUGGAGAGGCUGUCGGCCCUGAGAGCGCGCGUCGUCGACAUGGCAAUGCAAGAAUCGGCGGUGGCCCUGAAGCCCAGGCGGAAGGCCGCCGCACGGCAAGGAUCUAGCACUGCCAAUCUCUUGCAGGCGCUGGAAGACUACUUGCCACUUCUGCUAGGAUUGGUGAAAGAAGGUGGUGAGUUGAGGCACAGCGUGCAGUUUGUGUGGACUAACCAAGAGGACAAGGCCGAGGAGACGGCCAUGGCGGAUGCAUGGUACGAGGUGCUGUCCGUGCUGCAUUUGAUGGCCAUGGUCUGCUUGCUGCAGGCCAACUCCCUGCUCCUUCCAAGGGCUUACGGCGAUGGUUACGGGCCACGGGUCUCUGAAGAGAGCAGACGUGCCACUGUCGACGUUUUCUUGAAAGCAUCUGGCUACUUGGACUGCGCAAUUCGACAAGUGCUCCCACAGAUACCAUCAGAACUAAGGAGACAACUUCCAGUAGACCUGGCUGAAGGCAACCUCAAAGCUCUUAGCCUGCAAGCUCUCGGUCAGGGUGUUGACAUGCAGCUUGGGCUGGCAAUCGAUAGCCCAAAGGCCACACUAGCUGUAAAAAGGCGCUUAGCUUGUGAGAUGGUCAAAUAUUGGCACCAGGUUCAGGAGAGCAUUCCAGAUCUUCCUGUGUCCGACGGAUGGGGGAAAAAACAUCUACUAUUUGUCAAAUGGAAGUACGUCGAAGCGAAGUCUGCAGCAUACUACUUCCAUGGUUUGAUUCUUGACGAAGGAAACAGUGAGAAAUCUCACGGAAUGGCAAUAGCAGCAUUGGAAGCUUCGGAGGAAUUUCUGAAAGAAAGCAAAAGGGCCUCUGAAGUUUUCCAUGCAACUCCUCCAACAUCUAGGAGCCCCACUCCAUUUGGAACAGCUAAGUAUCUGUUUGACAAGAUCCCGAAAGAGGCUUCAAGCAAGGUCCGGAUCAACCAGGACCUAUAUACCCCAGAAAGGGUCAUUGGAGCACCACCCCCGUUGCCGGAUUUCUCGUUGGCACUAACACCUGAAGACUAUGAUCUUCCUCCAUUAGACCCACUUUGGAACAAAGAAGACGGCCACCAGUAA